CAGCAGACACAUUCCAGCCAAUCAGCAGCAGACCCUCCCUCCCAGAACCUCCAACCUCCUGGACAGCAUCCAUUUUACAUUCAUUGUGAAGCUGCAUUCUUAGUGAGCUGUCCAGGAGGUGGGAGGGUCUGGGAGAGAGGGUCUGCUGCUGAUUGGCUGGAAUGUGUCUGCUG
rnacentral:miRNA from 1 species